UACGUAGGAGGCGAGCGUUGUCCGGAAUUACUGGGCGUAAAGAGCGCGUAGGCGGCACGGUACGACCGGUGUGAAAGCCCCCGGCUCAACUGGGGAGGGUCACCGGUAACGGUCGAGCUAUGAGUGCAGGAGAGGGAAGUGGAACUCCGGGAGUAGCGGUGAAAUGCGUAGAGACCCGGAGGAACACCAGUGGCGAAGGCGGCUUCCUGGUCUGCGACUGACGCUGUGGCGCGAAAGCUAGGGGGAGCAAACGGGG
rnacentral:rRNA from 1 species